GCCAUGUCUUUGUUUUUCAGAAAAAUACUUUUCAAAAAAAAAAAGUGUUUAUUGGCUGCUUCUAACUCUCUUUAUUAACAGUGAAAAAAAAUUCAAUAGGAAGUCACAGAACUUAGUGCUUCUCUCUCUGUGCCAAUUCUGUCAGACCACACAGAAGCAAAAGCUAGAUGAUUUGGCAGAGCUAUCAGACUUGAAGAGAGGUUUGGCAAUGGAAUGAAGGGAAGGAAAGCUGACUGUGUUUUCAGCCAGGACAGAGGAGUGGUUACAGGCAGUGUUAGUGAACUGUCUACAGACUGCACCGUGAACAGUUGAAUAGGAAAUUUUACUCAGGGAGGGAGGAGAGAAUAUACUAAUGUAUUUGAUAUUGGGAUAAAAUGGAAGUUGGCAUUUUAGGGCAUUAUUGAGACUACAGAGGUGGCUUGUGGAUGGAGAUGGGAUAAUACAGGAGUUUCACUCUUGUUGCCCAGGCUGGAGUGUAGUGGCGUGAUCUCGGCCCACUGCAACCUCUGCCUCCCAGGUUCAAGUGGUUCUCCUGCCUCAGCCUCCCCAGUAGCUGGGAUGACAGAGUUUCCAAUUGUCAGAAAAAUUUACUCCUGUAAAAUCCCACUGAUGGUGUCCACAGAACAUAGCGGUAUGUGAAUAGAUGUUAAUAUUUUUUAAAAAUUUGACAUUUUCUUGUGUAAAAUUUGUAAGACAUUUAUACGUAUAUAAUAAAGCCUAUUAUUGAAACAUAUUUGGAAAUGAAUUAGGAAUAUCUGCCAUCCCCUUAUCUUGGGUUUCUAGAUUGUGAGCUUUAUAGAAUACAAUUAAACAUUGAUAGUCCAUUCUCACAGAGCUUACUUACCAUCUGGUAUUCUAGAAACUCAGAGUAAAUUAUUUUUCCCACUAACGUGGGUGAAGUAGUUGAUAUGCUUGUUCACACACCAACACAUACACAUAUAUUGUUAAUGAAAUGUACAAAAGUGCUAUUUUAAUAGAGAGACUCAAAAUAUUACAUAUUCAUGGGACCUGGGGACAAAAUUAUGUCUUGGAAAUUUUCUGGAAAAUCACAUAAGCUCCAGAGAAGUUGAUAUAAAGACAGCUAAAGAUCUUUCCAAAGAAUGAUCUUGGUUUGAUAGUGGCGAUUCUACCAAUAC
rnacentral:lncRNA from 1 species